AAUUUCUAAAAUAUGUCCUUAACUCUCUUUUGAUGCCUUAAGUCAUUGCUUGAAUAGCUUUUGCAAUGGACCAGUCUUGUAAGCACAUCCGCUCAAACCAUAUGUUUUUUUGUCUUUGUAAAGAUAAAUCCCUUUAACAUUUACAAUUGAGCUGAAAUGCUCAACCAAUUAUAGUUUAAUCUUUUUUUCGAAAAGAGUUUUAACAAACCAUCUUAACAUAUGUUGUUUACAAACCGUUGGUAGCACGUCAGAGAAACAUUGGGUGACCACAACAACUCUUUAGCAAAAGCAAACUGAAUGAUUGCACUUUUGCUAUAAUCAUUCUUUUUGUCCUCAUCAAACUCAACUCCAACAACCAGAGCAACUGUUUUGAAGAACUCAUCAAUAGCUGCUCUGUCAACUAGGGGACCAGACCAGAAGCAAGCAAAACAUCUUGUAGAUAGUAUUCAUCUGUUGACGAAUCAUCUGAGCUAGAUGAACUCCAAGGUUCCUUGGUAGAAGGUUCUUUUGAUAAAGGAAAAAAUCGCAAGUAAAUCCUCCUUUUUGGGCAUCAAACUAAUGGACAUAACACAAAGUUCACUAUAAUUUCGACACAGUCCACAUCUUUUUUGAGAGAAUCCACAAUUAGUUUGAUAGAAUCCAUAUCAACUUUGAUUAACUACUGGUUGCAGUUAUAAAUUUUGUUCAAUCGUAAAUUUAACUACUAUAUAUACGGUUAAAAUGGUUGUGAUUAAAUACAGUUACGGGUAUAGAGAUUACGAUUAAAUACGAUUACGGUUAUUAGUGAUUAUGAUUAAUAUAGUGACGAAAUCUUACGAAUUAUCUAACUUUAUAUAGCAUUAUAACAUAUUUAUUUUAGAAAAGACCAUUUUGUGACGUAAUUGUUUUU
rnacentral:sRNA from 1 species